GAUGAGCGCUGGCGGCGUGCCUAACACAUGCAAGUCGAGCGAGAUUUAUGGAAGUGGAGACUUCGGUCAAAGCGACCAUAAUGAAAGCGGCGGACGGGUGAGUAACGCGUGAGCAAUCUGCCCCAUACAAAGGGAUACCCACUGGAAACGGUGAUUAAUACCUUAUAAGACCACAGAGUCGCAUGGCUUAGGGGUCAAAGAUUUAUCGGUAUGGGAUGAGCUCGCGUCUGAUUAGCUAGUUGGUGAGGUAAUGGCUCACCAAGGCGACGAUCAGUAGCCGACCUGAGAGGGUGAACGGCAACACUGGAACUGAGACACGGUCCAGACUCCGACGGGAGGCAGCAGUGGGGAAUAUUGCACAAUGGGCGCAAGCCUGAUGCAGCAACGCCGCGUGAAUGAUGAAGGCCUUCGGGUCGUAAAGUUCUGUCCAAAGGGAAGAAUACAGUGACGGUACCCUUGGAGGAAGCCCCGGCUAACUACGUGCCAGCCGCCGCCGUAAAAC
rnacentral:rRNA from 1 species